rnacentral:rRNA from 1 species
GACGAACGCUGGCGGCGUGCCUAACACAUGCAAGUAGGACGCAGUUGCGAACGGGAGAGUAACGCGUAGGUAACUACCUAUUAGAGGGGGAUAACUAUUGGAAACGAUAGCUAAUACCGCAUACUAGUAGCUGGACCUGUGUUGUAUUAGCUAGUAGGUAGGGUAAUGGCCUACCUAGGCAACGAUACAUAGCCGGCUUGGGAGGGUGGUCGGCCAAACUGGGACUGGGAGACGGCCCAGACUCCUACGGGAGGCAGCAAUGGGGAAUCUUCGGCAAUGGGGGGAUGCCUGACCAAGCAACGCCGCGUGGGUGAAGAAGGUUUUCGGGUCGUAAAGCUCUGUUGUUAAGGAAGCGGUACUUAACCAGAAAGGGACGGCUAACUACGUGCCAGCAGCCGCGGUAAUAC